rnacentral:rRNA from 1 species
GACAGAGGGUGCAAACGUUGUUCGGAAUUACUGGGCGUAAAGCGUGCGUAGACGGUUAUUUAAGUCGGAUGUGAAAGCCCCGGGCUCAACCUGGGAAUGGCGAUGGAUACUGGCUCGCUAGAGUGCGGUAGAGGAGAGUGGAAUUCCCGGUGUAGCAGUGAAAUGCGUAGAGAUCGGGAGGAACAUCAGUUGCGAAGGCGGCUCUCUGGACCAGCACUGACACUGAGGCACGAAAGCGUGGGGAGCAAACAGG